rnacentral:rRNA from 1 species
GACGAACGCUGGCGGCGUGCUUAACACAUGCAAGUCGAACGAAGUGGCGAACGGGUGUGUAACGCGUAAUCAACCUGCCCUUCAGAGGGGGACAACCGUUGGAAACGACUGCUAAUACCGCAUACUGAAGGAGGGGAUUGCGUCUGAUCAGCUAGUCGGAGGGGUAACGGCCCACCAAGGCGAUGGUCAGUAGCCGGUCUGAAAGGAUGAACGGCCACCUUGGGACUGAGACGCGGCCCAGACUCCUACGGUAGGCAGCAGUGGGGGAUCGUCCGCAAUGGACGAAAGUCUGACGGAGCAACGCCGCGUGAGUGAUGACGGCCUUCGGGUUGUAAAGCUCUGUUAAUCGGGACGCGGUACCGGAAUAGAAAGCCACGGCUAACUACGUGCCAGCAGCCGCGGUAAUAC